UGCUUGCUGAUUAUCACACCCGGGAGGAGCAGGAGGGGCUGCCCAAGGAAGUGCUCCGGGGCCGAUUCCCAUCACCGAGGAGCCCCAGCUGCCCGCGGAAGUCGCCGGGUCCCGGUCAGGCGGGUCACGAAGCCCGGCGGGGCUGAAGCGCGAGCACAUCUGACAGAGGCUUCCACGCGUCCCGCGGUGCGCCCGGUGCGGCGGGGGCACCUCCACUCCGCCGGGGCCCGAGUUCGCUGGGGGACAACUUACUGCGCUCGCCGAGCGUCCACACUGCAAACUCACAAGCGGGAGGGGGGAAACAGCCCAGGCUGUGCGGUGCCGAGGAGUAGAGGCAACAAAAGACCGAGAGACGAGGGGAGGGAGGCAGAAACGAAGGGAACCCUGGCUCUGGCCCCUCGCUCCCCGAAAGCGCCCCUUGGAUGCUGCUGGGGAGGCCCUCCGGGCUUCUCUUUGGGGCUUCUGGGGCCCGCGGCUCAGACAGCAACAGCCGCCAGUCCGGCCGCCCCGAGCCGCCGCCGCGGGCUCAACUCCACCCGGCGGAGCCCGGCGCGCCGCAGCCACACAAAAGAGGCGCGAGGGCCGGCGGCGCGGCUGCAGGGGCCCGCCCGGGAGCACCGCGCUAGGAGACGCCGCCUGCGGGAGGAGGAGCGGCGGAGAGGAGGGCUCCGAGACGGGAUGCGGGAUGCGGAGGACCUGACACUUCUUGGAAACUCUUGGAAAUGGCUCCCGCCACGGCGCCGGAGGGGGCUGCGAGCCUGGGGCGGGCGCUCGCCCCCGCGGGGCUGCUGAGCGGCGCUCCGAUGAAGGGCCCCGGGGCGCUGUCCCUGCGCUCCGCCGUCGGCUCGGGCUGAAAAAGUUUCUCCAUGGUUCCUUUGUGUUGCCCGAGCGCCCGUUCGCCGGCCCCGACCUCCCCCGGUCUCCCUGGGUAAGUGAGCGAUCUUAUGUGCGGAGAGUGCUGCCAUUUUGAGCAAUUCUGCCAGUCCCCAGCCCCCGGGGCCACUCUCCGCCCCUCAGGUCUCGGAGCCCCCGCGACCCGGGCUGGUGUUCGGGGACAGGCUUUUUACCGGGAGGGCUACACAGGAUGCGCUGCCCAGAAAAAGCGAGUUCAGGAUUGCCCUCACUUCGCUCCUGCCUGUCUUUCCAGAAGCGGACGCGCAGCUGCUGGACUCAUGUGACUCCAGCCAACAUCAAUAAGCAGACCACAGCCAGGGGCCAGGGGGUCGCCGCCCUGCCAGUGAGGGGCCGGGGGUCUAGGACCUGGGUUGGGUGCCAGACACAGAAUAGCGCUCCCAGCCUGUGGGCUCCGAACCUCCGAGCCUCAGAGUGGGGCUUAAUCCAUCAUGAGCUGAGAACUUGAAUGUCUCUCUUGGAAGCAGUUGUAUUUUUAGACAUCCCUCCUUUGCUUCCCCCAUCCUCCAUUCCUUAACCACGGUAAGACCAGCUCCAGGCAGUAAAUGGCGAGGGCAGCCAAGCUUAACUGCUAGUUUGUUAUCUUUCAUUGGGUAUAAAGGAAAACCUCAAAGGUGGGUCUCCCGUGGCAUCUGACCUUUGUCUGUAUGUCAUGUCAGAUGUUGAUACAUUGAAAGGGAGUACAGCCUUCUACAGAGCUGAAGGAAUAAUAAAUGAGGGAGUUAAUUACUAGCUAUUAAACCCAUUUUAAAGAUCUGCUGUAAGGACGGUUGAAAUCCAUUCCAACCUUCCUUACAUUCUACCGGAGCCAAAGCUGCUUUGCUGAGGAGAAAUCCAAGUGGGUGCCCCCCUCCCUCAAGACAUCCAGCAUCCCGGUGCACCUGAUCGAUGCCACACAAAACAUAUAGCCUUUCUCCAUUGGGAGAGCCACCCUGCCAACCGAGUUCGCUUCUAAAAUGUCUGGUCCUUAAAGCCUUCUUUGAGAUAACUACGGAUCUCCAGAUUAUUUAAGAUGCUGAACUCCAGGGAUCACUUACAACAGUCUAUACGUUACAACCACAUCGUAAAUGAGCCUAUUUAUUUGAGAUGAGAGAUGUAGACAGUAAGCUAUUGUUUUUUUAAUCUGUACUUACUGGUGUAGCUCAUUCUUAUAAUAAAAUUUAAAAGCUGUAUAGAUGUAUUCUCUAUACUGAGCCCUCUCUAAUCUACCUGGUGCUUCUCUUUACUGAAACCCAACUAAGUUCCAAAGAGAUAAUGAUUUGCAAACAUUGUAAAGAACUGAUUACCAUGUAUCCCCACUGAUGGAGAAAAAAGAUCCUGCCUAUAUUGGUAUAAUGGAGGAACUCAAGGGCCAAAGCGUUGCACCCAAACACCAGUGAAAAGCAAAAUUCUGCCUGCCACACGUUUUCAAGGGACAAUUUAUUCUAAAACAUGAAUUAUUUGAUAAAGGAUAGAAUACCAAAAGGUUUGGGAGUGAUAGCUAAAUCUUUCCGUUCAUACAAUGCCCUUAAUUUUAACAUCUCAUAGGAGGGAACACAAUCAAUGGAACAGAAAAUGUUUUACUCUGGGGAUACAGCAAGACAGAAAUUUUUAGAGGCUGCCGAAUAACCACAAAUAUGCAUUUGUGAAUUUACCUACCCAGGCUUUAUUACUAACGGCUAAAUAAACUUCCUAAGAGUAGUCCAUUGAUUUUUGCCACCCUCCCUUCCUAAAAAUGACUUCAUGAGAAAAGGAUGAGAAAAAACAAAACAAAACAAAACAAAAAACCUUAACUUUGGCUUGGGGGAAAUGUCAUUCUACAAAUCAUCAUAUUAUGCAGACUGCUUUACCUAGUUAAUUGCCUACUCAUUUGAAUACUGGAAUUCUGUAGCAUGCUUAUGGCACUUGAAUAAGGGGUCAGAAAGCUAUUAUGGCAGAGUGGUUUUUUAACUCUAAUUUUCCCAUGUGAGAAAAAGAUCUUUCUCUUGGAGAUUCCAGGGAACAUCUUAAAUUCCCUGAUGAAAUCUGGCACAUGAUACCUUUAAGGGAGUUCCUCUAGGGAGCAGAGAAGGCCAGAAGGAAGAGCUCAGUUACAUAAGCAGUUACCUAAAACUAAAUAUUCCACCCCAAGAAGCUGUCCAGAUGUUGCCGAGAGGAGAGAAGGCUGUGCAAGGGAUCUGCUUGCACUUAGCUAUAGGAACAGGCAUAGGUGGGAGACAACUUUGUGAAGGGAUUUAUUGUCAGAGUAUUGCAAUAUCUCUGCUGCUUCCCCAGUGAUGAACUCUCUAUUAAUUAUCUGAAGUAAAUAAACUGCCUGACUGCCAUUAUAUGACCUUUAAUUUUCAUCCAGUGAAAUAAAUUCCUUUGUCUUCAUACGGUAGUAACUUUUGUGACUGUUUUGGGCCACACAUUGACAGAUUCCCCAGCUUAGGGAGACUUGAAGCUCUUGUGGCAGCUCCCUUGAAAAAUCUUCCAAUUCCAGUAGGACUAAAGGAAAGAAUCUUGCCAGGAAAGUCCUUAACGUUCCUACAUUUAGUUUUUACUAAUGGCUGGAACUCCGUUGUUCAUUUCAAACCCUCAUAUUACCCAUGGAAUGUAUGGGGGAGAUGGACGAGGAGUGGGGAGAAGAAGGCAUACUCUCAUAUUGUUUUCUCACCACCUAUUAGUUAUUGCAAUGUUUUAUAACAACCUAUUAGUUGUUGCAACAACAUUUCCCUUCCCUAAUGUCUACCUGGCCCCAGCUUCUGUACACGGCCUUCGUUUGGGUUAGCGGAUAAAGUCCCUGGGGAGGGACACAUUUGGAGUGGGAUCUGGGAGCAGGGCAGUUGCAGCGUGAGAUGUCACUGCAGCCAAGCCAACACCUUCUGAUUGUCUUCCUCUGCUUUGCAGCAGGAGGAGGUGGCUGAGCAGCUAGUGGGCAGUUGGCGCCCUCCCUGCGCAAGCCUCCACCCCAGAGGCUAGUC
rnacentral:lncRNA from 1 species